GAUGAAGAAGCAGCGAAAUGCGAUAAGUAGUGUGAAUUGCAGAAUUCAGUGAAUCAUCGAAUCUUUGAACGCACAUUGCGCCCCUUGGUAUCCCGAGGGGCAUGCCUGUUCGAGCGUCAUUUCACCACUCAAGCCUGGCUUGGUGUUGGGCGACGUCCUCUUUGGGGACGCGCCUCGAAACGCUCGGCGGCGUGGCACCGGCUUUAAGCGUAGCAGAAUCUUUCGCUUUGGAAGUCGGGGCCCCGUCUGCCGGAAGACCUGCUCGCAAGGUUGACCUCGGAUCAGGCAGGGAUACCCGCUGAACUUAAGCAUAUCAAUAAGCGGAGGA
rnacentral:misc_RNA from 1 species